GACGAACGCUGGCGGCGUGCUUAACACAUGCAAGUCGAACGGAAAGGCCCUGCUUUUGUGGGGUGCUCGAGUGGCGAACGGGUGAGUAACACGUGAGUAACCUGCCCUUGACUUUGGGAUAACUUCAGGAAACUGGGGCUAAUACCGGAUAGGAGCUCCUGCUGCAUGGGGGGGGUUGGAAAGUUUCGGCGGUUGGGGAUGGACUCGCGGCUUAUCAGCUUGUUGGUGGGGUAGUGGCUUACCAAGGCUUUGACGGGUAGCCGGCCUGAGAGGGUGACCGGCCACAGUGGGACUGAGAUACGGCCCAGACUCCUACGGGAGGCAGCAGUGGGGAAUAUUGCACAAUGGGCGGAAGCCUGAUGCAGCAACGCCGCGUGCGGGAUGACGGCCUUCGGGUUGUAAACCGCUUUCGCCUGUGACGAAGCGUGAGUGACGGUAAUGGGUAAAGAAGCACCGGCUAACUACGUG
rnacentral:rRNA from 1 species